rnacentral:lncRNA from 1 species
AUCUUGGGUGGGUCAAUGAUCUUCUUACAUAGAUCGAUCAUGAUGGUGAUUGAAGUGGUAGAGUUGAUGAUGAUGAUAAUGAUGAAAAGUUGAAGGGGAAGAUAUAGAUGUUUGUAAUAUAUAUCUAUAUAUAAAGCCUCGAGUUAUCCAUAUAUAUAUAUGCAAAGUGUAUAUAUAUAUAUAUGUGAUGAGAGGGAGAGGNN